CGACGAGUGGCGAACGGGUGAGUAAUACAUCGGAACGUACCCAGUAGUGGGGGAUAGCUCGGCGAAAGCCGGAUUAAUACCGCAUAUGCCUACGGGUGAAAGCGGGGGACCGCAAGGCCUCGCGCUAUUGGAGCGGCCGAUGUCGGAUUAGCUUGUUGGUGGGGUAAAAGCCUACCAAGGCGACGAUCCGUAGCUGGUCUGAGAGGACGACCAGCCACACUGGGACUGAGACACGGCCCAGACUCCUACGGGAGGCAGCAGUGGGGAAUUUUGGACAAUGGGCGAAAGCCUGAUCCAGCAAUGCCGCGUGUGUGAAGAAGGCCUUCGGGUUGUAAAGCACUUUUGGCGGGAACGAAACAGCGCUUGCUAAUACCGGGCGCGAAUGACGGUACCCGCAGAAUAAGCACCGGCUAACUACGUGCCAGCAGCCGCGGUAAUACGUAGGGUGCAAGCGUUAAUCGGAAUUACUGGGCGUAAAGCGUGCGCAGGCGGCUUUGUAAGACAGAUGUGAAAGCCCCGGGCUUAACCUGGGAAGUGCAUUUGUGACUGCAAGGCUAGAGUGCGUCAG
rnacentral:rRNA from 1 species